rnacentral:rRNA from 1 species
UACGGAGGGUGCAAGCGUUGUCCGGAUUUAUUGGGUUUAAAGGGUGCGUAGGUGGUAUUGUAAGUCUGGUUUGAAAGCUGGUCGCUUAACGAUCAGAUGUGGCUGGAAACUGCGGUACUUGAAUGGAUUGGCGGUAGCCGGAAUGGGUCAUGUAGUGGUGAAAUGCAUAGAUAUGACCCGGAACACCGAUUGCGAAGGCAGGCUACUACGAUUUGAUUGACACUGAGGCACGAGAGCAUGGGUAGCGAACAGG